rnacentral:tRNA from 1 species
AGUGCCAUGGCUAAGCUGGCUAAUGCGCCUGUCUAGUAAACAGGAGAUCCUGGGUUCAAUUCUCAGUGGUGCCU